rnacentral:rRNA from 1 species
UGCGUAGGUGGUCUUGUAAGUCAGAAGUGAAAGGCUGCGGCUUAACCGUAGUAAGCUUUUGAAACUGCAGGACUUGAGUGCAGGAGAGGAAAGUGGAAUUCCUAGUGUAGCGGUGAAAUGCGUAGAUAUUAGGAGGAACACCAGUGGCGAAGGCGACUUUCUGGACUGUUACUGACACUGAGGCACGAAAGCGUGGGGAGCGAACA